UGAGAAAAAAACCUUUUUAUUUUUUUCAGGAUCAUAUCUAUUGUGAAAGUGUAUAUCCAUGUUGAAGUGAAAUUUGGGAGCAGCAAAUUUAAGCAAAUUUUUUGUUGUGAGCAGCUACAUGGGUGCUACCUAAGUCAAGGAAAAAGAAUGUGAAGUAGUAAGAAGAGGAAGAAUUGAUGAUUUUAAAGUUUGAGAGCUUCUAUGGUUAAACUAUAAAACAUGCUUAUAUUUAUUUGUUCAGAUUUUUCUUUUAUAUGAAUGUUCUGUUGUGUUUCUGCCUGAUUGUUUUUCUCCUUAUAGUUCAACUGUAUGGUUCCUCCAUGUUUAGGAUAAAUUGGAAACUCACUCAUCUUUCUUCCAUGGCCGAACCACACACUCCACCAUCACUAUACACUCACUCAAAAUUCAUCUCUCCACCAUUUUCAUCCUUUCAAAGCUUGUUUGAAAGCUAGGAGUUGUGAUGAGCUUCCUCUUCUAAGGUGUUCGAUAAUCCCACGGCAUUAACAGAGGAGGAGCUGUAUGAAUUGUGAAACUGCUGGGCAACUUGUUUUCUUGACCUAUAUAAUCAUGAGGUAGAUAAUGAUGUUGCCGAUGAGACUUAGGAGCUAGCUAGGUUAAUUUGUAUGAUGUUACGAUGGAUUCACAUUAAUUAGGAUGUUUUGAAUUGUAAUGACAUUUGGUAUUUUGCUUGAAUGUUAUAACAUUUUGGAUUGUUGGUA